AUUCUGGUGUCCCAGGCAUAGAGGAACCACACCAACCCAUCCCGAACUUGGUGGUUAAACUCUACUGCGGUGACGAUACUGUAGGGGAAGCCCUGCGGGAAAAUAGCUCGGUGCCAGGAUGAUAAAAAGCUUAAUGCCUC
rnacentral:rRNA from 4 species